GGCAGAAAAGUCAACCAAAAUGUAGAAAAAUCAACCAGAGUGCAGAAAAGUUAACCAAAAUGCAAAAAAGCCAACUAGAGUGCAGUUUUAGCACUGCACGUGGCGUUGAGCGCCAGUUUUUUUUUGUGUUGCGCCUGAGCGCCACUGUUGAGGGCUAGUUGAGUGCCGCACCUAUCGCUGAGCGCCAUUUUGGCACUGAGCGCCGACAAUGUGUGUUUUGGGCCAGUUUUCUGCUAUUUUUAUGAUCUGUUUUGGGCCU
rnacentral:lncRNA from 1 species